rnacentral:misc_RNA from 1 species
CCUCAUUCACAAUUUCUGCUUUGUUUUCUACACUUCUACCACGCAAACCAGCCGCUUGCACUGUGAGCCGUUUUGCCAACAAAGAAGUCAUAUUUAAUUCCGUCACAGCUCCACCCAUGAAGCCAAUGAUAAAAAGCCUCCCAUCAAAAUUCAAGCUGUCCAGGUUUCUCUGAAAGUAGGAUGCACCAAUACAAUCCAAAAUAACAUCAACACCUUUCCCACCAGUUUCUUCCUUCACCCGUGCAACAAAGUCCUCUGUUUUGUAAUUGAUGCACACAUCAGCUCCAAGUUCCUUACAAGCAGCUAGUUUUUCCUCACUGCCUGCAGUGACAAACACCCUAACCCCUUUAUAUUUAGCUAUCUGAAUUGCAAAAGUCCCAAUCCCACUAGAGCCUCCAUGAAUCAGAAAGGUUUCCCCAGCAGACAGCCGACUCAUCAUAAAAACAGUGGACCAAACAGUACAUGCCACCUCAGGGAAAGCAGCAGCAUCCUUGAGGGAAAUGCCAGGCGGGACAGGAAGAACUUGUCCCGCUGGAACUGCCACUUUCUCCGCGUAGGCACCUCCACCAAGAAGAGCACACACCUGAUCACCCACUUUCCAGCGAGAAACGAGUUUCCCAACGGCUUCGAUGGUGCCGGAGCAUUCAAGACCCGGGUAGGGGCUAGCACCCUUGGGAGGCGGG